CGGCUGGCUCCAUAAAGGUUACCUCACCGNCNUCGGGUGUUGCAAACUCUCGUGGUGUGACGGGCGGUGUGUACAAGGCCCGGGAACGUAUUCACCGCGGCAUGCUGAUCCGCGAUUACUAGCGAUUCCAGCUUCACGCAGUCGAGUUGCAGACUGCGAUCCGAACUGAGAACAGAUUUAUGGGAUUGGCUAAACCUUGCGGUCUCGCAGCCCUUUGUUCUGUCCAUUGUAGCACGUGUGUAGCCCAGGUCAUAAGGGGCAUGAUGAUUUGACGUCAUCCCCACCUUCCUCCGGUUUGUCACCGGCAGUCACCUUAGAGUGCCCAACUAAAUGCUGGCAACUAAGAUCAAGGGUUGCGCUCGUUGCGGGACUUAACCCAACAUCUCACGACACGAGCUGACGACAACCAUGCACCACCUGUCACUCUGUCCCCGAAGGGAAAGCCCUAUCUCUAGGGUUGUCAGAGGAUGUCAAGACCUGGUAAGGUUCUUCGCGUUGCUUCGAAUUAAACCACAUGCUCCACCGCUUGUGCGGGCCCCCGUCAAUUCCUUUGAGUUUCAGUCUUGCGACCGUACUCCCCAGGCGGAGUGCUUAAUGCGUUAGCUGCAGCACUAAGGGGCGGAAACCCCCUAACACUUAGCACUCAUCGUUUACGGCGUGGACUACCAGGGUAUCUAAUCCUGUUCGCUCCCCACGCUUUCGCUCCUCAGCGUCAGUUACAGACCAGAGAGUCGCCUUCGCCACUGGUGUUCCUCCACAUCUCUACGCAUUUCACCGCUACACGUGGAAUUCCACUCUCCUCUUCUGCACUCAAGUUUCCCAGUUUCCAAUGACCCUCCCCGGUUGAGCCGGGGGCUUUCACAUCAGACUUAAGAAACCGCCUGCGAGCCCUUUACGCCCAAUAAUUCCGGACAACGCUUGCCACCUACGUAUUACCGCGGCUGCUGGCACGUAGUUAGCCGUGGCUUUCUGGUUAGGUACCGUCAAGGUGCGAGCAGUUACUCUCGCACUUGUUCUUCCCUAACAACAGAGCUUUACGAUCCGAAAACCUUCAUCACUCACGCGGCGUUGCUCCGUCANACUUU
rnacentral:rRNA from 1 species